rnacentral:lncRNA from 1 species
AGGGGUCAGACACCCUGAGUGACAGUCAACAAGCCUGAACGUGGAGAUUGGUAACUAGUAAGGAGAAAACUGGUGUUGCCAUAGCAUCCAAGAAGAUGCUAGCACAAGAGUGCACACCUGUAAGUUUCUAUCUUGUUUUCUUCUAAGAUUUUAUUUUGUGUGUGUGUAUGAAUGAGUGCCUGAGUGAGUAUAUGCAUACUGUGUGUGUAUGGGUACCUGUAAGGGCCAAAAGAGGGCAUCCAAUCUCCUGGAACUGUAGUUACAGGCAGUUGUGAGCCACUCCAUGAGGGUGCUGGGAACUGAACUCCGGUCCCCAGAGAGAGUUAUCACUGCUCUUAACUACAGAGUCAUCUUCUCCAUCCCCUGUUUGCUUGUUUUUAACUUGUGUAUGUGUGAGUGUGGACAGGGGUGGGUGGGGGCAGUGACUAUAAGCAAAUGUGCACUGUGGUGUGUACCUCCUAUGAAACAGGAUCUUUCUAAACACUCACUACGGCAUAGGCUAUGCUACCCAGCCUGUGAGCUUCUCAUGGACUGCCUCUGCCUCCCGACUCCUGGUAGAAGCUCCUACUCUGUGAAUGUGUGCACUACCUCACCCGCUUUGGUGUAGCUUCUGGGGAUCUGGAGUCAGGGCCUCAUUCCUGCACAGAAAGAGUGUCACCCACUGAGCCAUCUCCCCAGCCUGAAAAAUUCAAACAAACAACCCUACUUAUAUUGUGUGCAUGUGUGUGGGGGACAGAGGACAAUUUCUGCGAGUCUCUUUUCUCCUUCCACCAUGUGGAUCCCCAGGGAUGGAACUCAAGUUGCAUGGCACAUGGCAAAUCCCAGGACAGCUACUUUCUGUACACGCUAACACACUGCAGCUUAUUGGGGCUGUUACCACCAGCUACAGAGACGGCACUUCUGAGAUUCAUGUCUAUGAUGGUCUCUUCUCCCAUCUUUAGCUUCCUCUUGAGGUGAGCCUGAACCCCAUGCAACCUGCUUCCUGAUUUACUCUUUGACCUCCCCAGCUUGGCUGGUGGAUUCUUUCGCACGCCAGUUCUGGGUAACCAGUGAUCAGUCAUCCCCCCCCCCCUGCCCCCCCGUUAGUCCCCACCCCUGCUGAAGGCAGGUUUCAUAUAACUGGCUUAGCACUUGGUAAGGAACGAGGUGACAGCAAGGCCACAAGCUGAUAAAUAGACUGGUAUUUACCCAGUGCCGGACCUCCGCACGACUGAUGUCUGUGUUGUUGAGCAGUGUGUCACAUGUCCCUGCUGUCAUCCUGGUCUCAAGAUGACUGUGAGGACGGGGCCAAGUCAUUUUGCAAUCUGGGUGAGCGGUCCAAGCUUCUCAGAAGACCGACGCAAUAGAAAUUCAAGGUACGAAAUUAAAGGUGCGAUCUCCCAGUCAUUUUAUUUAGCACCUUCUCCAUUGUGUCUUCUCAGCACAUCAGGUGAGAGCCUCCUCCCCUACUGCUCUCCCAUAUGAACACGC